GAAACACCUAAGGACUUUUAAACCUCAAAGAUGAGGGUGGGAACAACAGAGAAGAACCUAUUAUUGGGCCACCUAUCAAGCAAAAAGAAAAUACAGCAAUACAAGGUCUCCAGAUUUGCCACCCAUGCUGAGUGCCGUGGUGUGAUCAUGGCUUAUUUCAACCUCAACCUCCCCCACUCAAGCGAUCCUCCUGCCUCAGCCUCUGGAGUAGCUGGGACUACAGGCACGCACCACCACACCCAGCCAUAAUUUGCCUCUUGCUGUAACUAAAAGGUCACAAAAACAAAGAAUUCUAAAAAAUCUUCUUCUUAAGUGUGCCUCACUACCACAAAUUAUGCAGUCAAGUCUCCCAUAUUUGGGGACAUCGCAGGGGUCAGCAUGUCCAGAGUGCAAUGGAUAAGCCUUGCCCUGGGAAAACCACCUUCGUGAUCAUGGUUAUCUCCCCUGCCAGAAUGAAGAUAACACCGAAAGUGACAAUGUCAAGUCAGACCCAUAGGACUCAGAGAUUUUACUCAAUAGCAACAUUUACUAAUUCAAGGGAAAAGAUAACUGUAAGACACAGGUGAAGCUCUGUGACCCACUCAGGUCCUCACUUUGCUUCUUGACUGUGUGCCAGAAAUAAGAGUCUCUCUGUGAGCUCUUGCCCUCAGCCUUUAACUGCUUGCCG
rnacentral:lncRNA from 1 species